rnacentral:sRNA from 1 species
CGGCCGCGUUUGAAGGAUGACCUCUAGGAAGAAAGUGUUGCUGAAGGUUAUCAUCCUGGGAGAUUCUGGAGUCGGGAAGACAUCACUCAUGAACCAGUAUGUGAAUAAGAAAUUCAGCAAUCAGUACAAAGCCACAAUAGGAGCUGACUUUCUGACAAAGGAGGUGAUGGUGGAUGACAGGCUAGUCACAAUGCAGGUAAGCACAUGUCUUGGCUGUGCUGACCAGGCCUUGACAGUUCAUUUAGUCUUAAUCUUUCCUCAUGUGUAGACAUUUUCCUUCCCUGUUCUUCAAAUCUUAUUAUCCUAUUUGUAGAUAAUUGGCCGAUACUCAGUUAAAUUUGAAUUUCAGAUCAAUAGUGAAUACUUUUUUAGUAUACUUCUAGUGUAUCUCAGAUACGACUUUCUAAGACACACUAAAAUUUCUUCUUCUUAAAAAAAAAAACUCAGAUUUAUCCUUUCUUGUUUUUUGUUGUUUUUAGUUUUGUUGUUUGCUAAAUUUGGCAACCUGCAGGUCUCUGUCUUGUGCCUCUCUUGACAUCCUUGCCCAGUGCUUUAG